rnacentral:rRNA from 1 species
CCUACGGGUGGCAGCAGUGAGGAAUAUUGGUCAAUGGGCGCGAGCCUGAACCAGCCAAGUAGCGUGAAGGAUGACAGCCCUAUGGGUUUUAAACUUCUUUUAUAAAGGAAUAAAGUGCGGCACGUGUGCGUUUUUGUAUGUACCUUAUGAAUAAGCAUCGGCUAAUUCCGUGCCAGCAGCCGCGGUAAUACGGAGGAUCCGAGCGUUAUCCGGAUUUAUUGGGUUUAAAGGGAGCGUAGAGGGUUGCUUAAGUCAGCGGUAAAAUCGUGCGGCUCAACCGUAAAAUUCCGUUGAAACUGGGGGUCUUGAGUAUGCGUAGGGUAGACGGAAUUCGUGGUGUAGCGGUGAAAUGCUUAGAUAUCACGAAGAACCCCGAUUGCGAAGGCAGCGUACCGGAGCACGACUGACGCUGAGGCUCGAAAGUGUGGGUAUCAAACAGGAUUAGAUACCCGUGUAGUC